AACGAAAGUGGAGAAAGAAUGAUUUAUUAAUUAAUUGGCGCGCUUCAGCCUUUUCCUUUAUUUUCUUUUCUUUUUUUUUCUUUUCUUCAUUUCCGCCGCAAUUCUUUGCUUUGCUUAUAAUCCACAUCAGAUUAGGACGUUUUGAUUCCUUUCUUUUUGUUUUCGUUUCCUUUCUUCCUUAUCGGGAUCUACGAGUUUCACUUCAUCAUAUUGCUUCUCCUCAUACGAACCUUGCAUUCCUGGAUUUCUCAAGGUCCGUCGGUCUCUCUUCAUCUUCUUCAUCCUACAUUUCGCUUUCUUUCUUUCUUUCUUCUUCUCAUCUCUUUUGCUUGUUUGAGGACAUAUCCAAUGCUUAAUGAUUGCUUUCCUUUUGCGUCUUGCUUCCGUUUUCACGUUGAUUGGUCAGUCUCUGCUGUUGUAGCAUGGGAUCCAGCUUGGAGCUGAGAAACAGUUCAAGCCACCGCCAUAACUCAAAAUGUUCUGUUCCACCGCGUAGCGACUUGUAUUUUGUGUCAACCAAGGGGACCAAUAUUGCUCGGGAAACAUUGUACCGCCAAGCUAACAGAGUCGAACAGAGUCCAAUAGGAGAGGACGAAGUUGUUAGGCAUAUGUCAAACUUGCCUGCUUAUCUCCUUCAUACACGCAGACUAGAAAAUCUCCAAGACAAGGUUUUGAAUGUUGGGGUUCUGGACUGGACACGGCUUCAGAAUUGGAAGCACCACCAUAUUCGCUGUCCAACGCAAGCUAAAGAUGUUGCUAGCUGUUCAAAUACUGCAAUCAAGGGGCGGAAAAAAAUACAAAGGAAUUGCACAUCAUCCUCAUCACAGGGAAAUGUUUCAAACCUGAUGCAACAAAAAGAAAGGACAAAGCGUUCAGGUGGGACGAUGAGUUAUUCAGAAAUAUUUUCUCCACCCGGUAUUCUCCUCGCUUCUGAAUGUCCAUUGCCUUCUUUAGCUGACGUUAAUAAUCCAAUGAUGGGCAGAAUGCAACAUCCUCUGCUCUGUCAUACUACCGCACAACUUUCAUGUUUGAGACCUUAUGGAGGUAAACAAACAGAGAAAGGAGACUCGGACAUUAAGCUUACCGGUUGCGCAGGUAGUUCAGAUACAAACAAAUUUGGUCCUGUGAUGUCUGAAAAUACCAGUUGCCCACAGAGUUCAGAUAGAAAGAAAAUACCUUUUACAAGGUUGAUGAAGCCAAUACUGAAGCAUAAAUCCUCAAAUCCUCAACAUCCUAUUGAAGGAAACGUCAACUCAUUAGGCCGUUGCCCAACCGGUCUAGGCAGUGCUCACGACAAGAAGCAUGCUGAAUCACCAAUGCAGGGCCUUUUGCAGUUCACGAUAAUGAAUGGUUUUCCGUUGUUUAAAUUAUUGGUGGAUAACAAUAGAAAUGUGCUUGUAGCCACGGCUAAAGAUUUAACCCCAUGUGGGAAGAAUGGAGCAGCAGGGCAGAGUUGUUAUACAUUCUACCUAGUUAAUGAAAUAAAAAGUAAGACUAGUGGUUGGAAACGACCAGGGAAUAGGGAUAGAAGUUAUGGCUAUGCCUGCAACGUCAUUGGACAAAUGCAAAUGAAUUCCGAUUAUGAAUACAGCAACGGUAAAUGUAUAACAGAAUCGAUUUUGUUUGGUGUUGAGAUGAGACCAGAAGAUCCAGAAUCAGCAAUCAUAAUAAAAAGUAGAGAACUUGCAGCCAUUGUUUUAGAGGUUCCUACCGAAAACUCGAAACAUGAUGGGCAACAAAGUUGUAACGUUUUGAUAGAGAAUGGCAUGAAGUUUUUGUCAGAGGAUAAUGGUGUAGUAAUACUUCCAGGGGAUGUUCAUGGGUCACCAAGCAGCGGACAGCCUUCCACAUUGAUCAAUAGGUGGAGAUCUGGCGGAGUUUGCGACUGUGGUGGUUGGGAUAUUGGUUGCAAACUGCGUGUGCUUUCCAUUCCGAACAAACUAAUUACAUCCAAGGCGUGUCCUAUUUCCAAGUGCCUCCAACUUUUUGUUCAGGGAGAUGAACAAGAUAAGCCCGUGUUCAGCAUGACACCCUUGAAGGGUGGGUUCUUUGAAGUUUGUUUCGAUUCCUCCAUCUCUAUGUUACAGGCGUUUUUCGUAUGUGUUACAAUUCUAAAUGGUCAGAAAAAAUGAUGAAGUAUCCCAAUACUAAUGGAAUUAAUGCAGUCCGUGAAAAUUAGAUAUCCCCCUCAUGCCCGGGUGGACGCAGCAGACACCAUCUCCUGGUGCCCAAAGAGUUUGCAUUCAGUGGGGCGAGCAAUAACACCUGCAUUGCUUGCAGGCCACCGGGACGACACGACGGGUUCAAACCCUCUCUUAUUCCCGAAUUAAGAAUUAAAAAGAUAUCGAACUUCGCGAUGUUGACCUUCAGAGUUUGGGUUUGAAGUAAUAUGGAAGCGGUGGUUACGCCCAUUCAAAAUGAAUCUUUACAUUGGUCGCGAAGCGUCGAAGGUAGCUAUGGAAAAGAUUCUGCGCAGAGAUUAGUACGGAGAUCAGCCUUCUCAUCGACAACUGGAAGUACCUUCUUGGUGGACUUAUUUU